GGUCAAGCGAAUAAGCGCACACGGUGGAUGCCUAGGCGGUCAGAGGCGAUGAAGGACGUGGUAGCCUGCGAAAAGUGUCGGGGAGCUGGCAACAAGCUUUGAUCCGGCAAUAUCCGAAUGGGGAAACCCACUGCUUCGGCAGUAUCCUGCAGUGAAUUCAUAGCUGCUGGAAGCGAACCCGGUGAACUGAAAUAUCUAAGUAACCGGAGGAAAAGAAAUCAACCGAGAUUCCCUAAGUAGUGACGAGCGAACGGGGAGCAGCCCUUAAGCUGGAAUGGCUUUAGAAAAACAAUCUGGAAAGAUUGGCCAUAGAAGGUGAUAGCCCUGUAUUUAAAAGGGCCACUCCAGUGAAGACGAGUAGGGCGGGGCACGUGAAACCCUGUCUGAAUAUGGGGGGACCAUCCUCCAAGGCUAAAUACUCCUGACCGACCGAUAGUGAACCAGUACCGUGAGGGAAAGGCGAAAAGAACCCCGGAGAGGGGAGUGAAAUAGAUCCUGAAACCGUGUGCGUACAAGCAGUAGGAGCUCGCAAGAGUGACUGCGUACCUUUUGUAUAAUGGGUCAGCGACUUACUGUUCGUGGCAAGCUUAACCGUAUAGGGGAGGCGAAGGGAAACCGAGUCUGAUAAGGGCGCAUAGUCGCGGGCAGUAGACCCGAAACCGGGUGAUCUAGUCAUGGCCAGGGUGAAGGUGCCGUAACAGGUACUGGAGGCCCGAACCCACGUCUGUUGCAAAAGACGGGGAUGAGCUGUGAUUAGGAGUGAAAAGCUAAUCGAACCCGGAGAUAGCUGGUUCUCCUCGAAAGCUAUUUAGGUAGCGCCUCGGACGAAUACUACUGGGGGUAGAGCACUGUUAUGGCUAGGGGGUCAUCGCGACUUACCAAACCAUUGCAAACUCCGAAUACCAGUACGUACUAUCCGGGAGACACACGGCGGGUGCUAACGUCCGUCGUGAAAAGGGAAACAACCCAGACCCACAGCUAAGGUCCCAAAUUUACUGCUAAGUGGAAAACGAUGUGGAAAGGCAUAGACAGCCAGGAGGUUGGCUUAGAAGCAGCCACCCUUUAAAGAAAGCGUAAUAGCUCACUGGUCGAGUCGGUCUGCGCGGAAGAUUUAACGGGGCUAAGCAGUGAACCGAAGCUUGGGGUGCAUAAAACUUGUUUUAUGCGCGGUAGAGGAGCGUUCCGUAAGCCUGCGAAGGUGGAUUGAGAAGUCUGCUGGAGGUAUCGGAAGUGCGAAUGCUGACAUGAGUAACGAUAAUGCGGGUGAAAAGCCCGCACGCCGAAAGCCCAAGGUUUCCUUGCGCAACGUUAAUCGACGCAGGGUUAGUCGGUCCCUAAGGCGAGGGCGAAAGCCGUAGUCGAUGGGAAGCAGGUUAAUAUUCCUGCACCUCGCGUGAGUGCGAUGGAGGGACGGAGAAGGUUAGGUGUACCGGGCGUUGGUUGUCCCGGGGAAAGGCGGUAGGUUUGGAUCUUUGGCAAAUCCGGGAUCCUUUAAGACCGAGCACCGAGACGAGCCUUUAUGGCGAAGUCACUGAUACCACGCUUCCAGGAAAAGCUCCUAAGCUUCAGCUCACGAAGACCGUACCGUAAACCGACACAGGUGGGUAGGAUGAGAAUUCUCAGGCGCUUGAGAGAACUCGGGUGAAGGAACUAGGCAACAUGGCACCGUAACUUCGGGAGAAGGUGCACCCUUUUUGGUGGCUCAUGCGAGCUAUAGCUGAAGAGGGUCGCAGAAACCAGGCCGCUGCGACUGUUUAUCAAAAACACAGCACUCUGCAAACACGAAAGUGGACGUAUAGGGUGUGACGCCUGCCCGGUGCUGGAAGGUUAAUUGAUGGGGUCAGCCGCAAGGCGAAGCUCUUGAUCGAAGCCCCAGUAAACGGCGGCCGUAACUAUAACGGUCCUAAGGUAGCGAAAUUCCUUGUCGGGUAAGUUCCGACCUGCACGAAUGGCGUAACGACAGCGGCGCUGUCUCCACCCGAGACUCAGUGAAAUUGAAAUCGCUGUGAAGAUGCAGCGUUCCCGUGGCAAGACGGAAAGACCCCGUGAACCUUUACUAUAGCUUUACACUGAACGUUGAGUUCGUCUGUGUAGGAUAGGUGGGAGGCUAUGAAACUGUGGCGCUAGCUGCAGUGGAGCCAUCCUUGAAAUACCACCCUGUCGUGCUUGACGUUCUAACCUAGAUCCGUUAUCCGGAUCAGGGACCGUGUAUGGUGGGUAGUUUGACUGGGGCGGUCUCCUCCUAAAGAGUAACGGAGGAGCACGAAGGUACGCUCAGCGCGGUCGGACAUCGCGCACUGUGUGCAAAGGCAUAAGCGUGCUUGACUGCAAGAUCGACGGAUCAAGCAGGUACGAAAGUAGGUCUUAGUGAUCCGGUGGUUCUGUAUGGAAGGGCCAUCGCUCAACGGAUAAAAGGUACUCCGGGGAUAACAGGCUGAUACCGCCCAAGAGUUCAUAUCGACGGCGGUGUUUGGCACCUCGAUGUCGGCUCAUCACAUCCUGGGGCUGUAGUCGGUCCCAAGGGUAUGGCUGUUCGCCAUUUAAAGUGGUACGCGAGCUGGGUUCAGAACGUCGUGAGACAGUUCGGUCCCUAUCUGCCAUGGGCGUUGGAAGUUUGAGAGGGGCUGCUCCUAGUACGAGAGGACCGGAGUGGACGAACCUCUGGUGUUCCGGUUGUCACGCCAGUGGCAUUGCCGGGUAGCUAUGUUCGGAAGCGAUAACCGCUGAAAGCAUCUAAGCGGGAAGCGCGCCUCAAGAUGAGACUUCCCGGGGCACAAGCCCCCUAAAGGAACCAUAUAGACUAUGUGGUUGAUAGGUCAGGUGUGUAAGUACAGCAAUGUAUUGAGCUAACUGAUACUAAUGAUCCGUGCGGCUUGACCAU
rnacentral:rRNA from 1 species